rnacentral:rRNA from 1 species
GUGCCUAAUACAUGCAAGUAGAACGCUGAAGACUUUAGCUUGCUAAAGUUGGAAGAGUUGCGAACGGGUGAGUAACGCGUAGGUAACCUGCCUACUAGCGGGGGAUAACUAUUGGAAACGAUAGCUAAUACCGCAUAACAGCAUUUAACCCAUGUUAGAUGCUUGAAAGGAGCAAUUGCUUCACUAGUAGAUGGACCUGCGUUGUAUUAGCUAGUUGGUGAGGUAACGGCUCACCAAGGCGACGAUACAUAGCCGACCUGAGAGGGUGAUCGGCCACACUGGGACUGAGACACGGCCCAGACUCCUACGGGAGGCAGCAGUAGGGAAUCUUCGGCAAUGGGGGCAACCCUGACCGAGCAACGCCGCGUGAGUGAAGAAGGUUUUCGGAUCGUAAAGCUCUGUUGUAAGAGAAGAACGUGUGUGAGAGUGGAAAGUUCACACAGUGACGGUAACUUACCAGAAAGGGACGGCUAACUACGUGCCAGCAGCCGCGGUAAUACGUAGGUCCCGAGCGUUGUCCGGAUUUAUUGGGCGUAAAGCGAGCGCAGGCGGUUUAAUAAGUCUGAAGUUAAAGGCAGUGGCUUAACCAUNGUUCGCUUUGGAAACUGUUAGACUUGAGUGCAGAAGGGGAGAGUGGAAUCCAUGUGUACCGGUGAAAUGCGUAGA